rnacentral:lncRNA from 1 species
UAAACCUAAACACUUUGUACUUGCAUAACAAUCAACUUUCUGGUUUGAUUCCCAAAGACAUAGGUAACUUGAAAUCUCUUGUAGAUCUCGAGUUGUCCUACAACAAUUUAAGUGGUCCCAUCCCUCCAAAUAUUGGUAACUUAAUAAACCUAAACACUUUGUACUUGGAUAAAAAUCAACUUUCUGGUUUGAUUCCUAAGGAGAUAGGAAACUUGAAAUCUCUUGUAGAUCUAGGGUUGUCCUACAACAAUUUAAGUGGUCUCAUCCCUCCAAAUAUUGGUAACUUAAUAAAGCUAAACACUUUGUACUUGGGUAAAAAUCAACUUUCUGGUUUGAUUCCUAAGGAGAUAGGAAACUUGAAAUCUCUUGUAGAUCUAGAGUUGUCCUACAACAAUUUAAGUGGUCUCAUCCCUCCAAAUAUUGGUAACUUAAUAAACCUAAACACUUUGUCCUUGGGUAAAAAUCAACUUUCUGGUUUGAUUCCUAUGGAGAUAGGAAACUUGAAAUCUCUUGUAAAUCUAUUGUUGUCCUACAACAAUUUAAGUGGUCUCAUCCCUCCAAAUAUUGGUAACUUAAUAA